CAUGACGGUGGCCGUGUUCUUCAGCUGCGCCUUCACUGCCUUCUGGCCUGCGCUCGCCCUCUAAGUCUUCACCAUCACCACCGAGCCGUUGCACGCUGGUCAUCAUCUUGCUGCACGUGUUCUGGGACAUUGUAUUUUUUGAUGGCUGCGAGAAGAAAAGGUGGUACAUCCUUCUUAUAGUUCUCCUGACCCGUCUGCUGGUGUCAGCCUGCACCUUCGUAAGUCCUCAUUAUGGAAUAAACCUGCUGUCGGCAUUUAUAAUCCUGGUGCUCAUGGGCAUCUGGGUAUUCUUUGUUGCAGGAGGCAGCUGCCGAAGCCUCAAACUCUGCCUAAUCUGCCAAGACAAGGACUUUCUUCUUUACAACCAGCGCUCCAGA
rnacentral:lncRNA from 1 species